rnacentral:rRNA from 1 species
GACGAACGCUGGCGGCGUGCUUAACACAUGCAAGUCGAACGGAAAGGCCCUGCUUUUGUGGGGUGCUCGAGUGGCGAACGGGUGAGUAACACGUGAGUAGCCUGCCCUUGACUUUGGGAUAACUUCAGGAAACUGGGGCUAAUACCGGAUAGGAGCUCCUGCUGCAUGGUGGGGGUUGGAAAGUUUCGGCGGUUGGGGAUGGACUCGCGGCUUAUCAGCUUGUUGGUGGGGUAGUGGCUUACCAAGGCUUUGACGGGUAGCCGGCCUGAGAGGGUGACCGGCCACAUUGGAACUGAGAUACGGCCCAGACUCCUACGGGAGGCAGCAGUGGGGAAUAUUGCACAAUGGGCGGAAGCCUGAUGCAGCAACGCCGCGUGCGGGAUGACGGCCUUCGGGUUGUAAACCGCUUUCGCCUGUGACGAAGCGUGAGUGACGGUAAUGGGUAAAGAAGCACCGGCUAACUACGUG